rnacentral:lncRNA from 1 species
CCACCCACUUUGCUUUACGAUAUUUUCCAGGCUUGUUUCUGUGUCCAUGUCUAUGAAACCCUGGUUUCUAUUUGGUAUAGGCAUGGAGCUUGAUCUCAUAUAUUCCCUUCCAUACUUCAUCAACGGAGUUUCAUGUUAUAUAGAUGUCAAAAGGUGGUACUAGUUCAGUACAAAAUUACCAUGCUACACUGAUUAUCAAACAAAUAAUUUGUACCUGCUGAUUGCAACUAUCUGGUGAACCAUAUAUAGCAUUAAGAUGCUCUUCCUCUGUUUUCCUUUUUGAUCUCCAGAAAGCUUCAAUCUCUUCUUUAGUAAGUGACCGAUUUCUUUUAAGUAUAACUGAAAUAUUUUUCACAUGAUCAAAGAUUAAACAACAAGGGUUAAGUUUUUUUUUUUUAUUUAAAAAAAAAAGACAAAAACAGAGAACAGCAUGGAAACAGUGAGGCAUGUAGUAAGAGGUUUCUGCAAAGAACCUGAUGAAGGAUCAGAUGUAGGAGAAUCCCAUCCUGACAGUAAAGAACCCAUUAUUUUGUUGAUGA